rnacentral:rRNA from 1 species
UCCGUAGGUGGAUAAUUAAGUCAGAGGUGAAAUCCUGCAGCUCAACUGUAGAAUUGCCUUUGAUACUGGUUAUCUUGAGUCAUUAUGAAGUGGUUAGAAUAUGUAGUGUAGCGGUGAAAUGCAUAGAUAUUACAUAGAAUACCAAUUGCGAAGGCAGAUCACUAAUAAUAUAUUGACGCUGAUGGACGAAAGCGUGGGGAGCGAACAGGAUUAGAUACCCUGGUAGUCC